rnacentral:rRNA from 1 species
AACGAACGCUGGCGGCAUGCCUAACACAUGCGAGUCGAACGAGACCUUCGGGUCUAGUGGCGCACGGGUGCGUAACGCGUGGGAACCUGCCCUUAGGUUCGGAAUAACUCCCCGAAAGGGGUGCUAAUACCGGAUAAUGUCUUCGGACCAAAGAUUUAUCGCCUUUGGAUGGGCCCGCGUUGGAUUAGCUAGUUGGUAGGGUAAAAGCCUACCAAGGCGACGAUCCAUAGCUGGUCUGAGAGGAUGAUCAGCCACACUGGGACUGAGACACGGCCCAGACUCCUACGGGAGGCAGCAGUGGGGAAUAUUGGACAAUGGGCGAAAGCCUGAUCCAGCAAUGCCGCGUGAGUGAUGAAGGCCUUAGGGUUGUAAAGCUCUUUUACCCGGGAUGAUAAUGACAGUACCGGGACAAUAAGCGCCGGCUAACUCCGUG